CGCCCGUCGCUCCUACCGAUUGGGUGUGCUGGUGAGAUGUCGGGAUUAGUGGCUGUGGGCGGUUCGCCGCCCUCUGCCGCUGAGAACUUCAUCAAACCCUCCCACCUAGAGGAAGGAGGAGUCGUAACAAGGUUCCU
rnacentral:rRNA from 1 species